GAAUAUUAUUGGAUUAUGAGAAAAAAUAAUGAAACUAAACUAUUUUGCAUUAUCCUACAAGAUGAAUGAUUACAGCAUAGAAUAGACUGACCAGAUAGGAGUUGAAAGCCAGAUCAUAAGACAUUUGAAGAGACACAGUAACAUCUCAAAAUGAGGCCAAUUUUCUUAGAUUAGGCCUUUCCCUUGAGUGCUGUACAAGUGUGUCCCUCAGGUACUGAUGAAGCCUCUACAGAGCUAUCUUCUCAGCCUUGCUGUGCCAUUUCUGCUGCUACUGCAGCAGUGACAUGGGAAUCUCUGAGGCAUCAAAUCUUGAAUUGGAGGAAAGUGCUUCUUUCCAUAUUUUGUGUUAAGUCCUACUAAAAGAUAGCAAAGCAGAGUUGUUUGCCUAGAGACUUUUAAAUAAAAUUUAGGUAUUACUUUUAAACAUAGGUUAAUAUAGAAGACAAAUCUAAGUGACAAAAAUAAUGUGUAUUCAGCAUCACUAUUCCCCAAGAAUGACAAAUGUAUUUUUUUUUUUUUUUGCUAUAAUAUCUCCCAGUUGACUCCAUCUUUUCUUCUACUGAAUUUUCAACCAGAGAGCUCCUUAGUUUCUUAUUUAAAUAGACUUCUGGUAGACCUAACCAGUAUUACAUGUGCCAGAUCUAUCUGAAUCUAAUCAAGUUUGGUUUAAAUGAAAUCAGCUGUGCCCACA